AGGAGAAUUCUGCUGGGACAUUUGGGUAAGAUUUUCCACAACGAAGAGUAAUACUAGAAAAAAAACAGCUUUCUUGAUGCCCGUUGUCUUGCUCAGGGCAGUGUCUGUGGCAGUGUGAUGGUCGGAGCUGAGGUAGCCGUCUUGGGUGCAUGAGGACAGGCAUCCCUCAUUUUGAAGAUGACGGAUGAGAAGGGAAGAAAGUGCCAAGCUUUCGUUGCUUUCUUGAGAUGCCCAUGAGACUACCUGACAAGAUUCUUAAGAUUUGAACUUCGUGAUUUUUCAGCAAAUGACAAGAAGUUGUUCUUGGAUGUAAAUCCACAGAGAUGGAUUUAUCAGGAAGUCAGUGAAGCCAAAGCUGGAGCUCAAGGCCACUUACUGGCACAGGUUCUGGGGAAGAGCCUCAACAACAUAGUCACAGCAUGCAGAGGCUGCCAUCUUGUGAACAAGAGAGCAGACAUCACCGUCUGAAGAUGGCAGGAUGCAUUUUUGUAAUCUCUGUAAAGGGUUUGGACAUACGACUUGCUUUGGCCAACACAAGCUCAGCAGCAAAUGAAAGAAGAGGCUUGAAAUGUGCUUGCACAUUUUUCUGUGUACUGCAAGUCUGAGACAAUUUGAAGGAGCUCAACAUUGCCCACUGAAGAAGCUAAAUGGAGGAAAACCAAAGCCCCCAGCCUUUGUUCCGCAAACCAGCAGACAUGUAAGCUAGGUCAUGUGAGCCCGGUCAUGUGAGCCCCUCCAGCUCUGGCUAAGCUGCCGGGGGGUGGAGGGCAGCAGCUCCCUGAGUGAGCUUGGGCAAGACUAACUGAAGAACAGCCUGGUCUAGUCCAGCCCAUAAAAUGAGGAGCAAGUAAGUGACUGUUGGUUUACAGCUAUUAUGUUUUGGGAUAGUUUGUGAAGAAAAGCUAACGGGUGUGUCAGUAAAAAUAAGGUACCCAAAGUCAGAAGCAUAUGGUGCAGUGGGAAGUCAUAACACCUUCUCAUACAAAACGAGCUUUCCAAACCACAGCAAACUGCAGAGGGGAAAGGAGGCAGCGUUCAUUUCUUUCUCCAUUAUCAGCAUCAUCAGAAUCUUAUUUUAAAAUCCCAUGGGGGAAACAAGAUGCAAUCAACAACGAAAAUACAAAAUAAAAUAAAAACAAAAUCUUCUCUCAAAUCUUAGAAAAUGAAAUAGGUAUAUUUUUUGAGAAGAGCAGUUAAGGUUUUGUAAACUAUGUAACUAAGUUUUCAUAAGCUGUUAGUUUUUGAGAAACUCCUAUUUCAAUUGAUUUUUCACCUCUAACAAGUGCAUAGGAUUUUCCAGAAUACAAUAUGUAUACUGGUCAUUUCUUUUGGUCACAUUUUCCACAUAUUAUACAAAUAUUUACCCACAUUUCACGGCUUUUUCACCUGUAACCUAUUACAUUUUCCUUUAAAGCAUUCAAAAUGCCUUUUGAAUGAAGACUUGAUAUAUAUGAAAUUUACUUAUUAAUUUGUUCUAUUUUGAUUUUAAGGCAAACUUUAAAUUCAGCUGAUCACAAUGUCCAACCUUUUUUUGUUUUCCAUUUAUACCUUAUUCCACAUGGCAAUGGAUAGAGUCAUGGAAAGAGAGGAGGAAGUGGAAAUAGAGGUGAUAAAACAUUUUGCAAUUUUCCAAGUGCUAGAGAUAAUCUAAGAUAUGUACAUUUUCUAUUGAAAUAGUUUCCCCCAUAACAAUACACACUCUUAUUAAAACCGUAUUUUUGCUGACAGAGCCCAGAGUUGCUUCACUCAGCAUUCUGCAUAUAGAAAAAAAAAAAACCCUCACUGCUGUAAUAUGAAUGACUUUUAUUUUCUUGAUCUCUUAUUUUUUAUUUUCUUUAGAGCUCUGCCUUCUUCCUUGACACUUCCAAAUGAUUCUGGGACUGACUGCAUUUGAACCAAGUUAUUUGAAUUUUGAUCUCUACCUUCCAUCAGGCACAUUGUUUUGAAUACAUUAGUUUGAAUAGUAGAGUCAAUUGACUAUUGUUUUCUUUUUGUAAUGUGAGUAAGGAAAUUAAUAGGAUUUAGAGAUUAGCUUGAAUAUCUUCUUUUAUGUGACCUAGAUAAUAUAGAGUCUUAUUAUUACUGCAUUUCUAAUAAUAAAGCAUAUAGCAUUUUCCAAUGAGU